rnacentral:lncRNA from 1 species
GACCACUUGAGGACUCAAGAGAAGCAUAUAAUGGCAUGGUCUAAGGGUCACAAAUGAAGAACAGAGGCUUGGGAGAUGUUGGGUUGAAGUUUAGCUAAGGUAGUACCUAGGGUCCCUUAAGGUAGUACCUCAAGGCCACUAAGGUAGUACCUAAAGGCCAUUAAGGUAGUACCUAAGCAACAGUAGCAAAAAACCAUUGGUGGACCACUCUAGGACUCAAGAGAAGCAUAUAAUGGCAUGGUCUAAGGGUCACAAAUGAAGACCCGAGGCUUGGAAGAGGUUGAGUUGAAGUUUAGCUAGGGUAGUACCUAGGGUCCUUUAAGGUAGUACCUGAAGGCCACUAAGGUAGUACCUAAAGGCCAUUAAGGUAGUACCUAAGCAACAGUAGCAAAAAACCAUUGGUGGACCACUUGAGGACUCAAGAGAAGCAUAUAAUGGCAUGGUCUAAGGGUGACAAAGGAAGACCCGAGGCUUGGGAGAUGUUGAGUUGAAGUUUAGCUAAGGUAGUACCUAGGGUCCCUUAAGGUAGUACCUGAAGGCCAUUAAGGUAGUACCUAAAGGCCAUUAAGGUAGUACCUAAGGAACAGUAGCAAAAAACCAUUGGUGGACCACUUGAGGACUCAAGAGAAGCAUAUAAUGGCAUGGUCUAAGGGUCACAAAUGAAGACCCAAGGCUUGGGAGAGGUUGAGUUGAAGUUUAGCUAAGGUAGUACCUAAGGUCCCUUAAGGUAGUACCUGAAGGCCAUUAAGGUAGUACCUUAAGGCCACUAAGGUAGUACCUAAGGAACAGUAGCAAAAAACCAUUGGUGGACCACUUGAGGACUCAAGAGAAGCAUAUAA